GGGCGUAAAGAGCUCGUAGGCGGUUUGUCGCGUCUGCCGUGAAAGUCCGAGGCUCAACUUCGGAUCUGCGGUGGGUACGGGCAGACUAGAGUGAUGUAGGGGAGACUGGAAUUCCUGGUGUAGCGGUGAAAUGCGCAGAUAUCAGGAGGAACACCGAUGGCGAAGGCAGGUCUCUGGGCAUCUACUGACGCUGAGGAGCGAAAGCAUGGGGAGCGAACAGGAUUAGAUACCCUGGUAGUCCAUGCCGUAAACGUUGGGCACUAGGUGUGGGGGACAUUCCACGUUUUCCGCGCCGUAGCUAACGCAUUAAGUGCCCCGCCUGGGGAGUACGGCCGCAAGGCUAAAACUCAAAGGAAUUGACGGGGGCCCGCACAAGCGGCGGAGCAUGCGGAUUAAUUCGAUGCAACGCGAAGAACCUUACCAAGGCUUGACAUGUGCUAGAUCGCCAUAGAAAUAUGGUUUCCCCUUUGGGGCUGGUUCACAGGUGGUGCAUGGUUGUCGUCAGCUCGUGUCGUGAGAUGUUGGGUUAAGUCCCGCAACGAGCGCAACCCUCGUUCUAUGUUGCCAGCACGUUAUGGUGGGGACUCAUAGGAGACUGCCGGGGUCAACUCGGAGGAAGGUGGGGACGACGUCAAAAUCAUCAUGCCCCUUAUGUCUUGGGCUUCACGCAUGCCUACAAUGGGCCGGUACAAUGGGUUGCGAUACUUGUGAGGUGGAGCUUAAUCCCAAAAAAGCCGGUCUCAAGUUCGGAUUGGGGUCUUGCAACUUCGACCCCAUGAA
rnacentral:rRNA from 1 species